rnacentral:rRNA from 1 species
CCUACGGGAGGCAGCAGUGAGGAAUAUUGGUCAAUGGGCGGAAGCCUGAACCAGCCAAGUAGCGUGCGGGAUGAAGGCCCUACGGGUCGUAAACCGCUUUUGCACGGGGAUAACACGCUCCACGUGUGGAGGUCUGCAGGUACCGUGUGAAUAAGGGCCGGCUAAUUCCGUGCCAGCAGCCGCGGUAAUACGGAAGGCCCGAGCGUUAUCCGGAUUCAUUGGGCUUAAAGGGAGCGUAGGCGGCAUGGCAAGCGUGCUGUAAAAUGGCGCGGCUCAACCCGGGCCCUGCAGUGGAAAUUGGAGGGCUUGAGUCCGCGGAAGGCAGGCGGAAUUCGUGGUGUAGCGGUGAAAGGCUUAGAUAUGACGAAGAACCCCGAUUGUGAAGGCAGCUUGCUGGAGCGGAACUGACGCUGAUGCUCGAAGGCGCGGGUAUCGAACAGGAUUAGAUACCCGGGUAGUC